rnacentral:snRNA from 1 species
GACUGUCCUGGUUCCAUUC